rnacentral:rRNA from 1 species
AGAGUUUGUAUCCUCGGCGUCAGGACGAACGCUGGCGGCGUGCUUAACUACAUGCAAGUCGAACGGAGGCACCCUUCGUAAAGAAGUUUUCGGGUACAAUGGAGAGGAAUGCUUAGUGGCGGACUGGUGAGUAACGACGUGAGGAACCUGCCUUCCAGAGGGGGACGAACAGUUGGAAACGACUGCUAAUACCGCAUGACACAUUUGAAUCGCAUGGUUUGUAAUGUCAAAGAUUUAUCGCUGGAAGAUGGCCUCGCGUCUGAUUAGUCUAGUAGGCGGGGUAACGGGACCCGACCCUACGGCGACGAUCAGUAGCCGGACUGAGGAGGUUGACCGGCCACAUUGGGACUGAGAUACGGCCCAGACUCCUACGGGAGGCAGCAGUGGGGAAUAUUGGGCAAUGGGCGCAAGCCUGACCCAGCAACGCCGCGUGAAGGAAGAAGGCUUUCGGGUUGUAAACUUCUUUUAAGAGGGAAGAGCAGAAGACGGUACCUCUUGAAUAAGCCACGGCUAACUACGUG